ensembl:lincRNA Gm28818 predicted gene 28818
CCCGAACGAGUCCCUUUGAUGGGUCUGGUGCCUCAAGUGCAGGGAGCCAGAGAAGCCUUUGUCCAAAGUCCAUACUGGGGGACUGGGAAUACAAUCACCUCUGAUGGCUGAGCCAGUCUCCCCCAGACUGUUGAGAACUAUUAGAAAGAUGACUCCCACCAAGCCAGCAAAUCUUGCAUCUCUGACAACCGGGCUAUGCUCAAACUGAGAAAUAGCAUCGGGAGUUCACGCAUCCAC